rnacentral:rRNA from 1 species
CGGGGGGAGCAAGCGUUGUUCGGAUUUACUGGGCGUAAAGGGCGCGUAGGCGGCCUCUGCAAGUCGACUGUGAAAUCUCCGGGCUUAACCCGGAACGGUCAGCCGAUACUGCAGGGCUAGAGUGCAGAAGGGGCAACUGGAAUUCUCGGUGUAGCGGUGAAAUGCGUAGAUAUCGAGAGGAACACCUGCGGCGAAGGCGGGUUGCUGGGCUGACACUGACGCUGUGGCGCGAAAGCUAGGGGAGCGAACGGGAUUAGAUACCCCGGUAGUCCUAGCCUUAAACGAUGAAUGCUUGGUGUCUGGGGUUUUAUAGUCCCCGGGUGCCGUCGCUAACGCUUUAAGCAUUCCGCCUGGGGAGUACGGUCGCAAGACUG